CAACAGCUCACUGUCCAACCUGGGCGUCGUUAUCGCCGCUCUGGCCAAAAAGGAGACUUGCGUAGCUUACAGGAACUCGAAGCUCACGUACCUCCUGCAGGGAUGUUUGGGGGGGAAACGGCAAAACCUUGAUGUUUGUUAACAUUGCUCCGGAGCCCGACAGCUUUGGGGAAACUCUGAACUCAUUGAGGUUUGCCAGCAAGGUCAGUGCAGUCUUGUUUCCAGUGUUCAUUGGACAGAGUACAUUAAUGAUGUCCUUACAUCAGCUGUUUAUGGUAAACCAAAGCCAUACUCCAUAUCCAUUUUAAUACCUUGGUGUGUAAUUCAUACUCACAUUUUGUCUGAAGAGUAGGGAUGUUCCUGGCGUCUUAUUUACUAGUCGACUAAUCGAGGGGGAAAUAAUUAGACUAACCAACUAAUGUAAAACUAAGGAACAUUCAGAUAUUGAGUUGAUUUUCAGAACUGAUUAAUAGAAACUGUCAAACUAGACGCAGAGGUAUCUUAAACCAUUUAUCACAUUCUGUUAAAUACAAAUGAAAAUGCAUUACUACA